rnacentral:rRNA from 1 species
AGCGGAGGGAUCAUUACCGAGUUUACAACUCCCAAACCCCUGUGAACAUACCUAUACGUUGCCUCGGCGGAUCAGCCCGCGCCCUGUAAAAAGGGACGGCCCGCCCGAGGACCCUAAACUCUGUUUUUAGUGGAACUUCUGAGUAAAACAAACAAAUAAAUCAAAACUUUCAACAACGGAUCUCUUGGUUCUGGCAUCGAUGAAGAACGCAGCAAAAUGCGAUAAGUAAUGUGAAUUGCAGAAUUCAGUGAAUCAUCGAAUCUUUGAACGCACAUUGCGCCCGCCAGUAUUCUGGCGGGCAUGCCUGUUCGAGCGUCAUUUCAACCCUCAAGCUCAGCUUGGUGUUGGGACUCGCGGUAACCCGCGUUCCCCAAAUCGAUUGGCGGUCACGUCGAGCUUCCAUAGCGUAGUAAUCAUACACCUCGUUACUGGUAAUCGUCGCGGCCACGCCGUAAAACCCCAACUUCUGAAUGUUGACCUCGGAUCAGGUAG